UCUGAAGAUGCCUGGCCUCUGCUAUCAGC
rnacentral:piRNA from 1 species